rnacentral:rRNA from 1 species
UACGGGGGGUGCGAGCGUUGUCCGGAAUCACUGGGCGUAAAGGGCGCGUAGGUGGCGUCGUAAGUCUGUGGUGAAAGCCCGGAGCUCAACUCCGGGUCUGCCGCGGAUACUGCGAGGCUUGAGUGCUGUAGUGGGGGGUAGAAUGCCGGGUGUAGCGGUGGAAUGCGUAGAGAUCGGGAGGAACAUCAGUGGCGAAGGCGGCCAUCUGGGACAACACUGACGCUGAAGCACGAAAGCGUGGGGAGCAAACAGG